CGUCUAGCAUGCAGUCGAGCGGCAAGCACUAGCAAUAGUGCCUAGAGCGGCGGACUGGUGAGUAACGCGUGGGUGACCUACCUUUAGGAUGGGGAUAGCCAUUAGAAAUAGUGGAUAAUACCGAAUAAGGUUAUCUAGUUAUGACUAGAUAAGGAAAGGGGCGAUAGCUUCGCCUGAAGAUGGGCUCGCGUCCCAUUAGCUAGUUGGUAAGGUAAAGGCUUACCAAGGCGAAGAUGGGUAGCCGGCCUGAGAGGGUGAACGGCCACACUGGGACUGAGAUACGGCCCAGACUCCUACGGGAGGCAGCAGCUAAGAAUAUUCCGCAAUGGUCGAAAGACUGACGGAGCGACGCCGCGUGGAUGAAGAAGGCCGAAAGGUUGUAAAAUUCUUUUGCCAGUGAAGAAUAAGCCUAACAGGGAAUGGUUGGGUGAUGACGUUAGCUGGUGAAUAAGCCCCGGCUAAUUACGUGCCAGCAGCCGCGGUAACACGUAAGGGGCGAGCGUUGUUCGGAAUUAUUGGGCGUAAAGGGCACGUAGGCGGUUAUGUAAGCCUGGCGUGAAAUGGUAGGGCUUAACCCUAUCACUGCGUUGGGAACUGUGUAACUAGAGUCAUGGAGGGGGAGUUGGAAUUCCUAGUGUAGGGGUGAAAUCUGUAGAUAUUAGGAAGAACACCGGUGGCGAAGGCGAACUUCUAGCCGAUGACUGACGCUGAGGUGCGAAAGUGCGGGGAGCAAACAGGAUUAGAUACCCUGGUAGUCCGCACUAUAAACGAUGUACACUAGGUGUUGGGCCGUGCGGUUCAGUGCCGAAGCGAACGUGAUAAGUGUACCGCCUGGGGAGUAUGCCCGCAAGGGUGAAACUCAAAGGAAUUGACGGGGGCCCGCACAAGCGGUGGAGCAUGUGGUUUAAUUCGAUGAUACGCGAGGAACCUUACCUGGGUUUGACAUAACGAGUGAUGCUGUAGAGAUACGGUAGCGUCGCAGACGACUUGUUACAGUGCUGCAUGGCUGUCGU
rnacentral:rRNA from 1 species